UACGUAGGGGGCAAGCGUUGUCCGGAAUCAUUGGGCGUAAAGCGCGUGUAGGCGGCUUGGUAAGUCCGCUCUGAAAGCCCGGGGCUCAACCCCGGGAGGCGGGUGGAAACUACCAAGCUUGAGUCCGGAAGAGGCGAGUGGAAUUCCCGGUGUAGCGGUGAAAUGCGCAGAUAUCGGGAGGAACACCAAUGGCGAAGGCAGCUCGCUGGGACGUGACUGACGCUGAGACGCGAAAGCGUGGGGAG
rnacentral:rRNA from 1 species